UCCCUUGCAUUCCCUGUGGGCUGGAGCUGUUGGGGUCUUGCUGCAGAACAUAGUUGCUUGGAGAAAGGAGGGAAAGACAGAAGCUGCAGGCGAAACCCCAACAUUGAAUUCCCAGCAGAAACAAGGCAUUUAUGCGCAGUAAUUGCCUGUAGGUCAGUAGAUCCUUAAACAGCAUGAAGGCUCCCAAAAGAUACACAGAGCCAGGAGUCGUGGCCGAUCUCUCAUUGUAUCCUUGCUGGGUCUUGCCGAGUGCUUGGUCCAUAGGAAGAGCUAAAAUGGUAUUGAUUUUGCUGGAUGUGUUGUUCGUGGAUUGUUUAAGAAGCAGUUGGAGAUGCAGAGCUGAGGCUCAAGAUAGAAGCUGCGAAACCUUCACGUGUGAAUGAAAAAUACAUGUCUAAGCGAAACGGAGAAUUUUAAGAAAACAAGGGAUGAGUGAGAAAGACUUAAGAAAUGUCACAUUUAGAGGUUAGAAAGAUUAGAAGGAUAAUUCUGAAGAAUGACUUGUUAUGCAUAAUCCUAUACAAUAUGUAAAUAUAUACAAGAUUACAUAGAAUUGAAGGAAUAAAUUGCAUAAUGAUGGAAAUCCUCUCCCCUUUCUUGGCAUACCUGGGAUAUUUCUUGGCCCAGAUCAUUUGGUCUCCCCAUGGAGUUAGAUUUAAGAGAGAACUGCAUGCAGCAUCUGAAUUUGUGUAUUAAAAAUAGGUGCACUAUUACAUUUAGCUCUCUAUAUUGAUUUAAGGGGGAAAGCUAUGUUCUUGCUAAGUAAAAUCAUUCCUUUAAAAACUACUAUUCAAACUUGCUUGGUCCACA
rnacentral:lncRNA from 1 species